CAUCAGAUCUUUCAAUAAGUUACAAAUAGUUAUGUUAGAAAAAUUAUCUGGAAAGAUAAACCAUAGAGUGUAAUAGUCACGUAUUUGAAAAUAUAAUUACUUAUAUGAGUCACCCCAAGUAACAAGGAGGAUAUUCCUUGUGAAUCUGCGAGGACCACCUCGUAAGGCUAAGUACGACCAGCGACCGAUAGUGAACAAGUACCGUGAGGGAAAGGUGAAAAGAACCCCGGCGAGGGGAGUGAAAUAGUACCUGAAACCAAUAGCUUACAAGCAGUAGGAGGGAUAUUUAUAUCCUGACUGCCUGCCUUUUGAAGAAUGAGCCAACGAGUUAUCUGUAUGUGGCAAGGUUAAGGAGUAAAUCCGUAGCCGCAGCGAAAGCGAGUUUUAAUAGAGCGUCUAGUCGCAUGCAAUAGACCCGAAGCGUAGUGAUCUAUCCAUGGUCAGGGUGAAGCGAAGGUAAGACUUCGUGAAGGCCCGAACCCACUGAUGUUGCAAAAUCAGGGGAUGAACUGUGGAUAGGGGUGAAAGGCCAAUCAAACUACGUGAUAGCUGGUUCUCUCCGAAAUGUCUUUAGGGACAGCGUUAUAUGUUGCGCUUUGGAGGUAGAGCACUGAUUGAGCUAGGGGGCCAAAAAGCUUACUGAACUCAGUCAAACUCCGAAUGCCAAAGUGUAUAAAUAUAGCAGUGAGCCUGUGGGGGAUAAGCUCCACAGACGAGAGGGAAACAACCCAGAUCAUCAGCUAAGGCCCCUAAAUGUAUGUUAAGUGUGAAACGAUGUGAGAGUGUUCAGACAGCCAGGAGGUUGGCUUAGAAGCAGCCAUUCCUUUAAAGAGUGCGUAACAGCUCACUGGUCGAAUGUUCUCGCGCGGAAGAUGUAACGGGGCUAAACAUACUGCCGAAGCUAUGGGAUCUUACUAAUCUUGAUAUUUAUAUCCAGGAGGUAAGAUCGGUAGGAGAGCGUUGUAUGGACAGCGAAGUAACAACGUGAGUUAGUUAUGGAGACCAUACAAGUGAGAAUGUUGGCAUGAGUAGCGAAGGAAGAGUGAGAAUCUCUUCCGCCGAAUGUCCAAGGGUUCCUGGGGAAGGUUCGUCCGCCCAGGGUUAGUCGGGACCUAAGACGAGGUCGAGAGACGUAGCCGAUGGAUAACAGAUUGAUAUUUCUGUACCACUAAUGAGACACCCAAACCGAAUAUAUGUUGCUAAGGAAAGCCCUUCGGGGCCUACCGAACCACAUAUUUUUAGGUUAGCAAAGGAGUGACGGAGAAGGAUAGAUGAACCCAGGCGAUGGUUGUCCUGGGGUAAAUGUGUAGGAUGGUUAAUAGGCAAAUCCGUUAACCUUAUAUCUGAGACAUGAUGCCGAGCCGCUUUUAGGCGAAGUCAUUGAUUCCAUGCUUCCAAGAAAAACUUCUAGUUAGUUUUAAUAGUGCCCGUACCCCAAACCGACACAGGUGGACAAGUAGAGAAUACUAAGGCGAGCGAGACAACUCUGGUUAAGGAACUCGGCAAAAUAGUUCCGUAACUUCGGAAGAAGGAACGCCCAAGUAAAGUUAGUGAUUAACUUCAUAAGCUUGAAAGGGCCGCAGUGAUCAGACUCAAGCGACUGUUUAUCAAAAACACAGGAGGGUGCAAAGUUCUAAUACAACGUAUACCCUCUGACACCUGCCCGGUGCUGGAAGGUUAAGUGGAUAGGUUAGCUUCGGCGAAGCUUUGAAGUUAAGCCCCAGUAAACGGCGGCCGUAACUAUAACGGUCCUAAGGUAGCGAAAUUCCUUGUCGGGUAAGUUCCGACCUGCACGAAUGGUGUAACGAUUUGAGUACUGUCUCAACCAGAGACUCGGCGAAAUUGCAAUGUGAGUAAAGAUGCUCACUAUGCGCGACAGGACGGAAAGACCCCGGAACCUUUACUGCAACUUGAUAUUGAUGUUUAAUGUGCAGUAUGCAGGAUAAGUGGGAGACUUUGAUUUAGAUGCGCUAGUGUCUAAUGAGUCAUCCUUGAGAUACCACUUUCUUCAUAUUGAGCUUCUAACCUAGAUCCGUAAUCCGGAUCAGGGACAUUGUCUGGUGGGCAGUUUCACUGGGGCGGUGGCCUCCUAAAAAGUAACGGAGGCGCUCUAAGGUCACCUCAGCGUGGACGGCAAUCACGCAUUGAGUGUAAGUGCAAAAGGUGGCUUGACUGUGACACAAACAAGUGGAGCAGGUACGAAAGUAGGAACUAGUGAUCCCAUGGUUGCAUGUGGGUGCGCCAUGGCUCAUCGGCUAAAAGGUACUCCGGGGAUAACAGGCUUAUCUCCCCAAGAGUCCAUAUCGACGGGGGUGUUUGGCACCUCGAUGUCGGCUCUUCUCAUCCUGGGGCUGGAGCAGGUCCCAAGGGUUAGGCUGUUCGCCUAUUAAAGAGGAACGCGAGCUGGGUUCAGAACGUCGUGAGACAGUUCGGUCCCUAUCCG
rnacentral:rRNA from 1 species